GACUCGUUGGCGCAAUAGAUAGCGUUCUUGUUUGAUGCGCUGAGGGUCGUGGGUUCGAUUCCCACAUCGGACA
rnacentral:tRNA from 1 species